rnacentral:rRNA from 1 species
UGGGGAAUAUUGCACAAUGGGCGCAAGCCUGAUGCAGCCAUGCCGCGUGUAUGAAGAAGGCCUUCGGGUUGUAAAGUACUUUCAGCGAGGAGGAAGGCGUUGUGGUUAAUAACCGCAGCGAUUGACGUUACUCGCAGAAGAAGCACCGGCUAACUCCGUGCCAGCAGCCGCGGUAAUACGGAGGGUGCAAGCGUUAAUCGGAAUUACUGGGCGUAAAGCGCACGCAAGCGGUCUGUCAAGUCGGAUGUGAAAUCCCCGGGCUCAACCUGGGAACUGCAUCCGAAACUGGCAGGCUAGAGUCUUGUAGAGGGGGGUAGAAUUCCAGGUGUAGCGGUGAAAUGCGUAGAGAUCUGGAGGAAUACCGGUGGCGAAGGCGGCCCCCUGGACAAAGACUGACGCUCAGGUGCGAAAGCGUGGGGAGCAAACA